UACGGAAGGCAGCAGUGGGGAAUAUUGCACAAUGGGCGAAAGCCUGAUGCAGCUAUGCCGCGUGUAUGAAGAAGGCCUUAGGGUUGUAAAGUACUUUCAUCGGGGAGGAAAAACAAAACUAAUAAUUUUAUUUCUUGACGUUACCCGAAAAAGAAGCACCGGCUAACUCCGUGCCAGCAGCCGCGGUAAUACGGAGGGUGCUAGCGUUAAUCAGAAUUACUGGGCGUAAAGAGCACGUAGGUGGUUUUUUUAAGUCAGAUGUGAAAUCCCUGGGCUUAACCUAGGAACUGCAUUUUGAAACUGAAAUACUAGAGUAUCGUAGAGGGAGGUAGAAUUCUGGGUGUAGCGGUGAAAUGCGUAGAUAUCUGGAGGAAUACCUGUGGCGAAAGCGGCCUCCUAAACGAAUACUGACAUUGAGGUGCGAAAGCGUGGGGAGCAAACAGGGAUUAGAUACC
rnacentral:rRNA from 1 species